GCCGGGAGCAAGACAGGAUAGAAUAGUAUGGGCUUUGUGUGACUUGACACGUGUAGAAAACAGAGCUAUGGGCUUUUUAGACUUUUGCUUUGCUGCAGUCUAUCUUUAUGAACGCUUUCACAGGGCGAGCUGCUUACAGCUUUGCUUUGUUAGGUUAGAUAAGCUGUGACGCAAAGCGGCGACCAAGGUUUGCUCUCUUCAUUUGUGCAGAUGUGGAGGGCUUUUGUUCUUGUGGGUGUUGAUGCGCUUGCGGUGAGCACGGAGGACGCGGUGGGAGGAGCGGCGAGCGGGAGAAGGAAAGGGGAUAAGGCAGCAUUAUCAAUAGGAUGGAAAACGCUUUAGUUGUUGGAGCUGACAUGGAGUGGUGCGAUGAGUAUGGCACGGGUAGUGAAGAAUGGACAACAAAGGUUGAAAUCAAGAUUAAGAAUGUUCCUGAGCAUGCUAACCACCCAGAAAUAAUGGAGAGGCUAGUAUCAUUCUUUUGCGAUGCACAGACGUACAGGUUUGAUGCAGUCAACAAAGAUUACUACAUCUGUGGAUUUGCACAGAGCAUUUAAUCUAUUCCAAAGUCUAAGCAUCUGAAACUAAAGUAUGGGACAUCAAAUGGAGUGCGAAUUAAGUCCUUUUUGUUGAACUUAGAGGCUUCACUGUAUGCUGGACCAGAAUCGAACGCUAUCACUGAAGCUGAAGAUUCUGAAAUCUAUGAAGACCCUGAAAUCUAUGAAGAUCCAGAUGUUGUGAGGGAAUUUUUUGAGACACAUGUUAGGCUGGAAUGUAUUGCAGAUGGCGAGGAAAGCAGCAGUUCAGCUGAUGGCUCUUUAGGCAUGAGUGUUGAUUCUGAUUGGAGCCUGAAGUACAGCGGUCGUUGAAGAGAAGAAGAACAAUGUCAGGAAGAAAUAUUCAGCAUGAAAGAUGUUAAGCAGUUGUUGCAUCACUUAAUUAUAUAUGUGUUAUAUUAGCAUGCAUUGCUGGAGACUUGUAAAAUUGACUGGUGGGCCAGCCUUUGUUAUAUUAUUGUAAUAUAUGCAGGAACCAUAAGGGAGAUAUUAAUAUUAGAUUUCUAGCUGCAUUUGUUUUUUUUUGUAGCCUUGUGUAUGUUCAUGUGAAACUGGAAACUGUUGGUAUGUUCAGGGAGAGGAAGUGUAUAUUAUGCUGUGUGAUAGCACGCUAUACAUAUAGCAGAGUAUUCUUUCAUGCGGGUUA